CAAAGAGUAGUUUAGUUUAGAAUCCUGGCUUUGGGAGUCAGGGGUAGGAGUUAGAAUCUCCUUUCUUUGA
rnacentral:tRNA from 1 species